CCUGAUCCGAAGCCGAGUUCUGCCAGCGGAUCAGGUGGAUUAGUCCAUUCACUGGCAGAAACGGAGGAACCACCAUCGGCUGUCGAAAGACGGCCUUGGGGUGAAGUCCGUAGCGGAAGUGCAAACAACGCAAGGCCCUCCGGGUACCUUGCGUUUCGUGCCCUUCGCGCGGACCGGGUCCACGAUCUCUCUGGCCCGAAUCCGACAGCUAACUUCGCAGGCUUGCCAGAGAGGAAAA
rnacentral:sRNA from 2 species